UAGGGAAUCUUCCGCAAUGGGCGAAAGCCUGACGGAGCAACGCCGCGUGAGUGAUGACGGUCUUCGGCUCGUAAAACUCUGUUAUUAGGGAAGAACAAAUGUGUAAGUAACUAUGCACGUCUUGACGGUACCUAAUCAGAAAGCCACGGCUAACUACGUGCCAGCAGCCGCGGUAAUACGUAGGUGGCAAGCGUUAUCCGGAAUUAUUGGGCGUAAAGCGCGCGUAGGCGGUUUUUUAAGUCUGAUGUGAAAGCCCACGGCUCAACCGUGGAGGGACAUUGGAAACUGGAAAACUUGAGUGCAGAAGAGGAAAGUGGAAUUCCAUGUGUAGCGGUGAAAUGCGCAGAGAUAUGGAGGAACACCAGUGGCGAAGGCGACUUUCUGGUCUGUAACUGACGCUGAUGUGCGAAAGCGUGGGGAUCAAACAGG
rnacentral:rRNA from 1 species